GCGUGCCUAAUACAUGCAAGUCGAGCGUAACAGACGAGGAGCUUGCUCCUCUGACGUUAGCGGCGGACGGGUGAGUAACACGUGGAUAACCUACCUAUAAGACUGGGAUAACUUCGGGAAACCGGAGCUAAUACCGGAUAAUAUAUUGAACCGCAUGGUUCAAUAGUGAAAGACGGUUUUGCUGUCACUUAUAGAUGGAUCCGCGCCGCAUUAGCUAGUUGGUAAGGUAACGGCUUACCAAGGCAACGAUGCGUAGCCGACCUGAGAGGGUGAUCGGCCACACUGGAACUGAGACACGGUCCAGACUCCUACGGGAGGCAGCAGUAGGGAAUCUUCCGCAAUGGGCGAAAGCCUGACGGAGCAACGCCGCGUGAGUGAUGAAGGUCUUCGGAUCGUAAAACUCUGUUAUUAGGGAAGAACAAAUGUGUAAGUAACUAUGCACGUCUUGACGGUACCUAAUCAGAAAGCCACGGCUAACUACGUGCCAGCAGCCGCGGUAAUACGUAGGUGGCAAGCGUUAUCCGGAAUUAUUGGGCGUAAAGCGCGCGUAGGUGGUUUUUUAAGUCUGAUGUGAAAGCCCACGGCUCAACCGUGGAGGGUCAUUGGAAACUGGAAAACUUGAGUGCAGAAGAGGAAAGUGGAAUUCCAUGUGUAGCGGUGAAAUGCGCAGAGAUAUGGAGGAACACCAGUGGCGAAGGCGACUUUCUGGUCUGUAACUGACGCUGAUGUGCGAAAGCGUGGGGA
rnacentral:rRNA from 1 species